rnacentral:tRNA from 1 species
UGGCGUCUGCUGCAGGCUUCGCAGCUGUGGCUGCAGUUGCGGCAGCGGCUGCUGUGGAUGCGGCAGAUGCGGCUUCGGCAGCUGCGGCAUCAGC